rnacentral:lncRNA from 1 species
GAGAAUGGCCGUGCCAAGUGGUCUGUAUAAAAAAUAAGCAAAGUCAUGGGGCCAGAGUGCCAUCUUUCUGAAUGAACCACAAAUGGACUGCUGUUGAUGGAAUACCACUGAAGACAGGAAGAAGAGGAACAGCCAGUAUGGAAUUAUAGAGAAGCCAUUUGAAUGUCCUUGAGGAGAACACAUAAUGCAAAUGCAAUUUGGGCUUUUGAAAGACAAUGCUGAUGGAAGUGUGAAGGAUGAAUAAGAGAGGAGGAAAUCAGAAGGUUUGGAAACCAAGGCUAUGAGUACUUCAGUUCAGUCAAGGGUUAAUGAAGAAAUAAACUAUGGAGGGCUGACUAGAAGCAGCUAGUGUGUACCAACCUCAAGGAGCGAAGAAAGUGUGGUCAGUAAUCACUAGCUCUUCAACUGGAUCAUCCAAGAGUACACAUUGGAAUUUAUGAAGAAAACAACACAACUCAUGGAGAAUAGAGAGGAGCAGGACUGGACAACUGCCCACUGGAUUGGUACAGAGCCAGGGGAGGCCCCCACCUUGGCAAAAUGCUGCUACGACUCCCUAGCCUUAAUCCAGCCCAGAUCUCAGCGGAAACUUAACACCACUCUGGUGACCCUGGAAUUGCACCAGAGUCUGAAAUCACCAAAUAAGGUAAGUCGUUUGUCAUCUGAGCCAUAAAUAUUUACAUCCACUAGUGACAAAUGUAUAAAGAGUGUGGAGUGACUGUGUAAUUUCAGCUGCUAUCCUCAAGCCUGUCAAUAGUUUCUCUUAUCUUGUGAAAGCCCCAAUGACUGAUUUCUGCUAGUUGAAUAGGAAUGCACUCUGCAGCUUGUUAACCUGCUUUAAUUGUUCAUUGUGACCACAUUAGUCACCUAGAAAGUUUUUAUUUUCCAUUGAGAUUUAGGGCCCAUUACACACAUUUGUUGGGACUGGAAACCAUUCAGCCCCCUCCUGGGUCUCCCUCAUUCCAUCAUAUGUUCUAUCCGAUUGUUCCUAAAACUCCAAGGGAUCAUCCCCAUUUUUUACUUCACUUUACUGAACUAACAGCAACAAAACAAUUCAAUGUUGUUCUCCCUCACAUACCCUCCCUCCACUCCGCCUGUAUAUAAUUGACUUAGGAGCUUGUCUUAAUAAUAUCUCUAAGUAAUUCUUAGACACAGACUGAUAGUUCCCAAACCUUAAAAAGUGACCAUACCACAAGGUGCUUAUAAUGUAAAAGUAUUUUCCAACAAGCACCUAGAAAAAUCUUUCAAAUCAUAUGAAACCGAAACUGAUUCAGUCUAACCUAAUGAGCCUGAAACUGAUCAUGUAAAGCAUAUCCUGUUUUACUCUUCUAUUAAGAUGUGGACUACUAAGAAAAAUACAAAAUCAGUUAAGAUCACGCUAUUGGUCUUUCAGUCACUAAAUCAUUAUGUAGAGCUUGCAUUUUUAUAUAUUUACCAAAUAAAGGCUCAGAUAGAGUGAUAAAAGCAUAUUUAAAUGAAUUUUGAAAUAUGAGAACUGAUAAUAUUGAAAAGUCUGGAUAAUUAAACUUUAAAAGACCUAUCUUUUUUCUUUUGCUGUAGGAAUAUGUUGACUGCUAUUGACUAACUGCAUAUAUACCUUUGUCAUUAGGCAUAACCUCAAAGAAAAAUGGCUGUAGAUUUCCCUGAAAUGCUAUAGUGGUUUGGUGGCUGAAAUUCAAUGCCUAACUGAUAACUAGAUUUAUCAGCCUCUGUAGGAUUUUUCCUGUAGGGAGAAUUUGGGUUUAGCAAGAACUUAAACAGAACCUCAGAAACAACUUGAGUUGAUAACUUGCAGAAAUGCGAACCACACCUGAAAAGAAAGACUCAAUGAUCUCUUAAAAGUUUUCUAACACUCCAGCUCAAUAAGGACUACAGUUUUCUUGCUCCCAUACUGUCUUAUUUAUAUUCCCAUUACAGCACCACACAGGAAUUUGAGCUCCUUGAUGAAGGAGUCUGUUGGUUUGUUACAAAAAUCUCUAAAAUUCAACACAAUACUUUGCAGAUAAUUUGAGCCCAGAAAAUACUAAUUGAAUAGAUGAAUGAGAAGGGAAGUUGAGAAAGACAAACAGGAAAGGAUCUUAAGAGAGGGAGUGUUUUAUCUUUAAAAAUUAGAAUUGGCAAGUGUCUGGAAAUUAGCCCUUUCUUCUCAUCUUUCUUAUUGGUGCCUGCGCGUGUGUGUGUGCGUGUGUGUACACGCGUGUGUGUGCCUGUACAUGAUAGCAACCGAUAAGGACAGCUCUAGUUUUAAUGUAGCAGUGACUUAGAGAAGAUUAAGCUAGGUUAGACUGCAGAGACACAGAACUGACUUAAGGAGGCUUGUAUUUGUAUCCUUAAAAAUUAUUUGGAAUCUAGACAACCAAAGUUAACAGCCAUAUACACAAGAUAAUUUUCAGUAACACAUGACUGCUAUCCAGGGCUGAGAGCAUAACUCACCUCUAGUGUACAAUUACCUCUUGACCUUCUGUUUUGCUUUCAACUUUCCAAAUAUUCAGAGCCCUUCUAAUGCUUUCUAGCUGAACAAAGUUCUUCCCUUACCACUGGUGCUUACUAUCCUUAAUGCUUUCAAAUUAUCUCUUCUUCCUCUCUGCCCAGCAAAACUCCCAUUACCGGAAUUACUUAUUUUCAGCUUGAUAUUCAUGUGAUUAUUAAAAUAAUUGUCACUAGGACUUACAGAUUUCAUCUUCCCAGGAUAUUUGCUUUUAAAAGGAGGAGUUUUCUAGUCCAAACUAAUUUCUAAGUGCUCAAAUAUAUAUAUGAGAAGAGAUAUUUUAAUCAGAAUGACUUCUGGUGGUUCUUUUCUACACAUCCCUCCCCUGACUAGGCACCCACUCCCGUAAUCAUUCAAUAACCCCACCAAAUAGUACAAUAUAGAAGUCAACACUGUUCAGCUUCAUAUGGUCAUACUCUGCGUUUCCUUAGGUUUUUUUGGCAAGUGGCUUUUUACCCUGAAAUCUCUGUAAAAAAAGAAUUAUAGUUAGACAAAUGAAACAAAGCUUAAAAGUGUCGUCAUUCAAAAUAGGAAUCACAGUGGAUAAGUCUUCAGUGUCACAGCCAACAUUCCCCAGAAGCAGACAAACUAAGAAUAAGACCUAGGACUUGUGUGAAAUCAUUUAGCCUCUUCCUUAUCAUUUUCUUAUCUGUAAAGUGGGAAUAAAUGUUGUUAUGUGGAUUCAGAAAGUAAUAUAUGUGAAAGCGCUGAGGCAACAAGCAUCUAAUUAAUAGAUCUAAAACAUUUUUAUUAGCAAUCAAUAUACACCUAAAAAGAACACUUAACAUUUGUUAUUCUUGAGCCAACAUUUUCUCCUAUGAAGAAUGAGUUCUCAGAAAAGAAGGCAUCUUAUUAAUGUUUUUUGCCUUCACAAUACAAUUUAGUAUUAAUAUUUCUUUUUUUUUUGCUCAUUUUUAUUUUAUUUUUAUUUAUUUAUUUUUUUAAAAAAUUUUUUAUUGGAUUUUAGGUUUUGGGGUACAUGAGCAGAGCAUGCAAGACAGUUGUGAAGGUAUACACAUGGCAGUGUGCUUUGCUUUUCUUCUCCCCUUCACCCACAUUU